rnacentral:tRNA from 1 species
GCCUGGUUGGCUCACUCGGUAGAGUAUGUGACUCAUGAUCUUGGGAUUGUGAGUUCGAGCCCCACAUUGAGCU